GAUGAACGCUAGCGGCAGGCUUAAUACAUGCAAGUCGAGGGGCAGCAUGAUUGUAGCAAUACAAUUGAUGACGACCGGCAAACGGGUGCGGAACACGUACACAACCUUCCAAUAAGUAGGGAAUAGCCCAGAGAAAUUUGGAUUAAUACCCCGUAACAUAACGAUGUGGCAUCACAUUGUUAUUAUAGAUUUUUCGCUUAUUGAUGGGUGUGCGGCUGAUUAGAUAGUUGGCGGGGUAACGGCCCACCAAGUCUACGAUCAGUAGCUGAUGUGAGAGCAUGAUCAGCCACACGGGCACUGAGACACGGGCCCGACUCCUACGGGAGGCAGCAGUAAGGAAUAUUGGACAAUGGACGCAAGUCUGAUCCAGCCAUGCCGCGUGAAGGAUUAAGGUCCUCUGGAUUGUAAACUUCUUUUAUAAGGGACGAAAAAAGGCUUUUCUAAGUCGUCUGACGGUACCUUAUGAAUAAGCACCGGCUAACUCCGUGCCAGCAGCCGCCGUAAAAC
rnacentral:rRNA from 1 species